GACGAACGCUGGCGGCGUGCUUAACACAUGCAAGUCGAACGGAAAGGCCCUGCUUUUGUGGGGUGCUCGAGUGGCGAACGGGUGAGUAACACGUGAGUAACCUGCCCUUGACUUUGGGAUAACUUCAGGAAACUGGAGCUAAUACCGGAUAGGAGCUCCUGCUGCAUGGGGGGGGUUGGAAAGUUUCGGCGGUUGGGGAUGGACUCGCGGCUUAUCAGCUUGUUGGUGGGGUAGUGGCUUACCAAGGCUUUGACGGGUAGCCGGCCUGAGAGGGUGACCGGCCACAUUGGGACUGAGAUACGGCCCAGACUCCUACGGGAGGCAGCAGUGGGGAAUAUUGCACAAUGGGCGGAAGCCUGAUGCAGCAACGCCGCGUGCGGGAUGACGGCCUUCGGGUUGUAAACCGCUUUCGCCUGUGACGAAGCGUGAGUGACGGUAAUGGGUAAAGAAGCACCGGCUAACUACGUG
rnacentral:rRNA from 1 species